rnacentral:SRP_RNA from 1 species
UUUGGGUAGCACUUGACGGGCGGGUACCCAACCCCGCCAGGGCCGGAAGGCAGCAACGGUCAGUAUUCCGUCCGGGUAAGUGUCUACCCUUUUUU